rnacentral:rRNA from 1 species
CGAGGAAAAGAAAUCAACCGAGAUUCCCCCAGUAGCGGCGAGCGAACGGGGAGCAGCCCAGAGCCUGAAUCAGUGUGUGUGUUAGUGGAAGCGUCUGGAAAGGCGCGCGAUACAGGGUGACAGCCCCGUACACAAAAAUGCACAUGCUGUGAGCUCGAUGAGUAGGGCGGGACACGUGGUAUCCUGUCUGAAUAUGGGGGGACCAUCCUCCAAGGCUAAAUACUCCUGACUGACCGAUAGUGAACCAGUACCGUGAGGGAAAGGCGAAAAGAACCCCGGCGAGGGGAGUGAAAAAGAACCUGAAACCGUGUACGUACAAGCAGUGGGAGCACGCUUAGGCGUGUGACUGCGUACCUUUUGUAUAAUGGGUCAGCGACUUAUAUUCUGUAGCAAGGUUAACCGAAUAGGGGAGCCGAAGGGAAACCGAGUCUUAACUGGGCGUUAAGUUGCAGGGUAUAGACCCGAAACCCGGUGAUCUAGCCAUGGGCAGGUUGAAGGUUGGGUAACACUAACUGGAGGACCGAACCGACUAAUGUUGAAAAAUUAGCGGAUGACUUGUGGCUGGGGGUGAAAGGCCAAUCAAACCGGGAGAUAGCUGGUUCUCCCCGAAAGCUAUUUAGGUAGCGCCUCGUGAAUUCAUCUCCGGGGGUAGAGCACUGUUUCGGCAAGGGGGUCAUCCCGACUUACCAACCCGAUGCAAACUGCGAAUACCGGAGAAUGUUAUCACGGGAGACACACGGCGGGUGCUAACGUCCGUCGUGAAGAGGGAAACAACCCAGACCGCCAGCUAAGGUCCCAAAGUCAUGGUUAAGUGGGAAACGAUGUGGGAAGGCCCAGACAGCCAGGAUGUUGGCUUAGAAGCAGCCAUCAUUUAAAGAAAGCGUAAUAGCUCACUGGUCGAGUCGGCCUGCGCGGAAGAUGUAACGGGGCUAAACCAUGCACCGAAGCUGCGGCAGCGACGCUUAUGCGUUGUUGGGUAGGGGAGCGUUCUGUAAGCCUGUGAAGGUGUGCUGUGAGGCAUGCUGGAGGUAUCAGAAGUGCGAAUGCUGACAUAAGUAACGAUAAAGCGGGUGAAAAGCCCGCUCGCCGGAAGACCAAGGGUUCCUGUCCAACGUUAAUCGGGGCAGGGUGAGUCGACCCCUAAGGCGAGGCCGAAAGGCGUAGUCGAUGGGAAACAGGUUAAUAUUCCUGUACUUGGUGUUACUGCGAAGGG